UACAGAGGGGGUUAGCGUUGUUCGGAAUGACUGGGCGUAAAGCGCGCGUAGGCGGGCUGGAAAGUCAGGGGUGAAAUCCCGGGGCUCAACCCUGGAAUGGCCUUUGAAACUCCCAGCCUUGAGUUCGAGAGAGGUGAGUGGAAUUCCGAGUGUAGAGGUGAAAUUCGUAGAUAUUCGGAGGAACACCAGUGGCGAAGGCGGCGACCUGGGCCAAUAUUGACGCUGAGGUGCGAAAGCGUGGGGAGCAAACAGG
rnacentral:rRNA from 1 species